AAUGACGUCAGAGUCGAAGGACCGCAGACCGUUUUGGAUGGAGGGAUCUCCGUGUGUUGGGGUCGGAGAGAACAGAUGCUGUAGGACGCGGUUGGUGAUGCGGUUGGACGUAUGGACCGAUCGAUGGAUGGAUUGUCGCGUCAUAUUUGAGCCGUGUUUAAAUAAUCAGGCUUUUUCAUUUCAUUUCAUUUAGAAAGCAAAAAAAGGGAUGUAUCUAUACUGUACACACUAGAUGCACAAACCAGGCCUAUCAUUAAAUAAUUCGAACUAAAA